CGGGUACAACGAGUCACAAGCUCGCGAGAGUAAGCUAAUCUCUUAAAGCCGUUCUCAGUUCGGACUGUAGGCUGCAACUCGCCUACACGAAGUCGGAAUCGCUAGUAAUCGCGGAUCAGCAUGCCGCGGUGAAUACGUUCCCGGGCCUUGUACACACCGCCCGUCACACCAUGGGAGUUUGUAACGCCCAAAGUCGGUGGCCUAACCUUUAUGGAGGGAGCCGCCUAAGGCGGGACAGAUGACUGGGGUGAAGUCGUAACAAGGUACC
rnacentral:rRNA from 1 species